GGGGAAUCUUGGGCAAUGGGCGCAAGCCUGACCCAGCCAUGCCGCGUGUGCGAAGAAGGCCUUCGGGUUGUAAAGCACUUUCAGUGGUGAAGAAAAGCCAGGGGCUAAUACCCCCAGGUCUUGACGUUAGCCACAGAAGAAGCACCGGCAAACUUCGUGCCAGCAGCCGCGGUAAUACGAAGGGGGCUAGCGUUGUUCGGAAUUACUGGGCGUAAAGCGCACGUAGGCGGAUUGUUAAGUCAGAGGUGAAAUCCCGGAGCUCAACUUCGGAACUGCCUUUGAUACUGGCAAUCUCGAGUCCGGAAGAGGUUAGUGGAAUUCCCAGUGUAGAGGUGAAAUUCGUAGAUAUUGGGAAGAACACCAGUGGCGAAGGCGGCUAACUGGUCCGGUACUGACGCUGAGGUGCGAAAGCGUGGGGAGCAAA
rnacentral:rRNA from 1 species